GCCCUUAAUGUGUUUACCAUUUGAAAACAGUUGUCAAUGCAAAAUUACAUACGUAUGUGCAAGCCACACUUGGCAAGAAAAACAGAUUUUGAAAGUGACUGAGAUCAACUAAAACCUGUUUAUAUUUUAUGCUUCUGAUUGACAUGUUUAUGACUGUGAACAUGCUGCUGUCACCGUUACUUCCCAUAUGAUAUGAAUGCAUACCAGUCUCUAAAGAAAGUCUGAAAACAGGUUUAUGUCUCAA